AUUAUGUGUGACAUUGAGUAAAUCAGAUUCAACAGAUCCAAUAUGAUUGUUUAAACUAUUUAUAAUAUACAAGAUAAAUGUUCUUGAAUUUACAAUCUCAUGUGAAUUUUUAUUUGGUAUUAGAGCGGGUCACCUCAGUAGACGCAUAAGUCUACACUCAGCUCGAGAUCAUGUGAAUAACAUGAAAAACAUGAAAGAACUUGUAACUUUGCA
rnacentral:lncRNA from 1 species